ACACGUGAUAUUUUGACUGAAGCUGGGGGGACCACCCUCCAAUCCUAAAUACUACUUACAGAUCGAUAGUGAACAAGUACCGUGAGGGAAAGGUGAAAAGUACUGCAGCGAGCAGAGUGAAAUAGAACCUGAAACCAUUAGCUUACAAUCAUUCAGAGCCCUAUGAUUUAUCAGGGUGAUGGACUGCCUUUUGCAUAAUGAGCCUGCGAGUUGUGGUGUCUGGCAAGGUUAAGCCAAGUGCGAAGCCGUAGCGAAAGCGAGUCUUAAUAGGGCGAAAUAGUCAGAUGCUGCAGACCCCGAAACGAAGUGAUCUAUCCAUGAGCAGGUUGAAGCUGGUGUAAGAGCCAGUGGAGGACCGAACCCGCUGACGUUGAAAAGUCUUGGGAUGACUUGUGGAUAGGGGUGAAAGGCCAAAUCAAAACUUCGUGAUAGCUGGUUCUCUCCGAAAUAUAUUUAGGUAUAGCCUUGUGUUGUAGCAUAUAGGGGUAGAGCACUGAAUGGGG
rnacentral:rRNA from 1 species